GAAGCUGGAAUUGCUAGUAAUGGCAGGUCAGCAUACUGCCGUGAAUACGUUCCCGGGCCUUGUACACACCGCCCGUCACACCAUGAGAGUUGGAAAUACCCGAAGCCUGUGAGCUUAACUUAAAGAGGCAGCAGUCGAAGGUAGAGCCAAUGGAUUGGGGUGAAGUCGUAACAAGGUAAC
rnacentral:rRNA from 1 species